AUCAGGCUGACGAGUCCCAAAUAGAACGAAACGAGCGUCCUAAAU
rnacentral:hammerhead_ribozyme from 1 species